UACAGAGGUCCCAAGCGUUGUUCGGAUUCACUGGGCGUAAAGGGUGCGUAGGCGGUCGGGUAAGUCUGAUGUGAAAUCUCACAGCUUAACCGGGGAACUGCAUCUGAUACUGGAUGGCUUGAGUUCGGGAGAGGGAUGUGGAAUUCCAGGUGUAGCGGUGAAAUGCGUAGAUAUCUGGAGGAACACCGGUGGCGAAGGCGGCAUCCUGGACCGACACUGACGCUGAGGAGCGAAAGCCAGGGGAGCAAACGGG
rnacentral:rRNA from 1 species